rnacentral:lncRNA from 10 species
ACAAUAAAACUACAAACAGACACUGUCGAAUAAAUUGAGUGAUAAGUAUGUCUAUUUACUAACAUGAGCCAAUUUGAACUUUAGUUUUGAGAUCUAAAAAUAUUUUAAUCCACAUGCAUUUAGUGACUAUAAAUUGAAGGCAGUGUUCUUUUGACAACCAAGCUUAUUGAAAACUUUGGCAUUAAUGUUCACAAACAUGAGCACUAUUUUGAAAUUAAAAAUAGACUAUGGUUUGCUCUACAUGCUUGUGACCCUGCAAAAAAUAAAGGAAAAAUAUUCAUGCUAUUUUUCUCCUCUUAUAUUCUUAUGGCUUAAAAAAUAUAACCAGGGUUUUAUCUAAUAUCAAUCUCUUGGCAAAGGAUCAUAUAAGGUUUUACCUGCUAACAAGAAUACCUCAUUUGAAAGAGCAUUACCACAAGCAUUGGAGGGAGGUACAGUUGACAUGGUGAAUUUGAUUUUACAAAAACUAACAAAGCUGGGGGGUGGCAAAGCAUUGACUUAACUAUAAUCACUAGUCACACCAAUGUGAGAUUCCGAAUCAUUGGUCAGCCACAGUGAUGCCACCUUGGCAUCAAACUUGCCUGUUCCAUCUUUAUCAAUGUAUCUGGAAGUCUGACUUGAGUACCAGAAGCCAAAACGCUCAGAAUGCUAAUUUGUGCCACCUUAAUGGCCCAUGUGUUCGGUAAAUAAAUUUGCUUUUUACAUCUCGUCAAAUCUUACUGAAUAAACCUUUCAUCAGAGUUCUACAUAUCCCCAGGUGGGCUUGGAAACGUGAGAUAGGAUUUUAUUGUGUUUUAUAUUAUGAUAGUUGAAUGAUGAUUCUAUAUGUUAUUGUUAUAUUUGUUUUCAUUAAAAACCCAAAGAACUACCCUUUGUAUACCAGUAAAGUACUAUUUUUUCUUGAAAAAAAGUAAUAAUAAUAAUAAUUAAGGCAAUUCACAUAGUUUGUUUUAUGCCAGUCUUCUGUUUUAAGUCAUGUGAUAACAUCUCCCCAAACAUCAAUUUCUCACCCUACAUGAUAUGUGAUAAAAUCCCCCAUAUGCCAAUAAUUUCCCCCACUAUAAAAUGAAGCUGCUUCCAAUAUUAUUGACUCAGAAAUGUAAAAUAUAGCACAGUUUAUCUUGUCUGUGGUCCUGUACUAAGUUAAACUUGCAGCUGUGAACAAAUUAAUAUUUAUUUUUAUUAGGAAUUCUUUAAGAUGAAUUUUCAGUUUUAGUAAAAGAAAGACACCAGUGAUAUUUUUAUGGAUGAAAGCUCUCUGGUUCCUUCAGCAGCUCUAGGAACAUCCUUAGCCAUUAUAUCCUCUCUCUUUGACAAUAUCAAAAUUGUCCAGGUAAAUGUAAUAUUGCCAGUGGUGUCAAGACAUUGGUCUGUUCAUGUCCUUAUUCUUCGCUUGGUUUGUGGAAUCAAAAUGGUUGCUUAUUUUCCUCUCUUCUGUAGAUAAUCCAUAGGCAAUGUUUUCAAUUUGGGAAACUUUUUUUUUCAACUUGGUUUAAGUUUGAAGGCUCUAAGGAAGAGGAAUAUUAGAACAAAUUAUGUAUUCUCUAUGUUCUAUUCCACUUGUUUGUAAUAUACUCCUGUUCUGAGAGUUAUGGUAAACCUAUAUAACACGACUGUUCCAAGUGCCAAGUGAGAAUUGUAGUGACUCACAGAACACGUCUCAUGACUAUUUAUCAAAAGAAAUGUGCUGAUUAAAGAAAAAAAGUAAAAUAUCUUAUUUUCA